GUCUGUAGGCAUACCACCUUGAACUUGCCUGAUUACAGAAGCUAAGCAGGAUUGGGCCUGUUUAGCACUUAGUGGAGACAUUAUCUGGUAAUAACAGGUGCUGUAGGCU
rnacentral:rRNA from 1 species